AGCCAACCUUUUUGCCUUUCCCAGUUGUGUUCUAAUAGAAUCAAAGAAUUGAAGGACCAGAAGGAACCUGUGAGAUCAUCAAGUCUGGUCCCCUGCCAUGGGCAGGAAGUUAUUGGGCUCAAACAAGCUCCAC